GACGAACGCUGGCGGCGUGCUUAACACAUGCAAGUCGAACGGAAAGGCCCUGCUUUUGUGGGGUGCUCGAGUGGCGAACGGGUGAGUAACACGUGAGUAACCUGCCCUUGACUUUGGGAUAACUUCAGGAAACUGGGGCUAAUACCGGAUAGGAGCUCCUGCUGCAUGGUGGGGGUUGGAAAGUUUCGGCGGUUGGGGAUGGACUCGCGGCUUAUCAGCUUGUGGGUGGGGUAGUGGCUUACCAAGGCUUUGACGGGUGGCCGGCCUGAGAGGGUGACCGGCCACAUUGGGACUGAGAUACGGCCCAGACUCCUACGGGAGGCAGCAGUGGGGAAUAUUGCACAAUGGGCGGAAGCCUGAUGCAGCAACGCCGCGUGCGGGAUGACGGCCUUCGGGUUGUAAACCGCUUUCGCCUGUGACGAAGCGUGAGUGACGGUAAUGGGUAAAGAAGCACCGGCUAACUACGUG
rnacentral:rRNA from 1 species